rnacentral:rRNA from 1 species
CCUACGGGUGGCAGCAGUGGGGAAUAUUGGGCAAUGGGCGCAAGCCUGACCCAGCAACGCCGCGUGAAGGAAGAAGGCCCUCGGGUUGUAAACUUCUUUUGUCAGGGACGAAACAAAUGACGGUACCUGACGAAUAAGCCACGGCUAACUACGUGCCAGCAGCCGCGGGAAUACGUAGGUGGCAAGCGUUAUCCGGAUUUACUGGGUGUAAAGGGCGUGUAGGCGGGAGAGCAAGUCAGAUGUGAAAUUCCAGGGCUCAACCCUGUAACUGCAUUUGAAACUGUUUUUCUUGAGUGAUGGAGAGGCAGGCGGAAUGCGGUGUGGAGCGGUGAAAUGCGUAGAUAUACGGAGGAACACCAGUGGCGAAGGCGGCCUGCUGGACAUUAACUGACGCUGAGGCGCGAAAGCGUGGGGAGCAAACAGGAUUAGAUACCCCGGUAGUC